rnacentral:rRNA from 1 species
AGCGGCGAAGUCAAGCGGCAAGAGCUCAGAUUUGAAAUCGUGCUUUGCGGCACGAGUUGUAGAUUGCAGGUUGGAGUCUGUGUGGAAGGCGGUGUCCAAGUCCCUUGGAACAGGGCGCCCAGGAGGGUGAGAGCCCCGUGGGAUGCCGGCGGAAGCAGUGAGGCCCUUCUGACGAGUCGAGUUGUUUGGGAAUGCAGCUCCAAGCGGGUGGUAAAUUCCAUCUAAGGCUAAAUACUGGCGAGAGACCGAUAGCGAACAAGUACUGUGAAGGAAAGAUGAAAAGCACUUUGAAAAGAGAGUGAAACAGCACGUGAAAUUGUUGAAAGGGAAGGGUAUUGCGCCCGACAUGGGGAUUGCGCACCGCUGCCUCUCGUGGGCGGCGCUCUGGGCUUUCCCUGGGCCAGCAUCGGUUCUUGCUGCAGGAGAAGGGGUUCUGGAACGUGGCUCUUCGGAGUGUUAUAGCCAGGGCCAGAUGCUGCGUGCGGGGACCGAGGACUGCGGCCGUGUA